UAAAAGUGCUGCAAGGCACUGGUAGAGGAUGGACUUAUGGCGCAUUAGCUGGUUGGUGAGGUAACGGCUCACCAAGGCGACGAUGCGUAGCCGACCUGAGAGGGUGACCGGCCACACUGGGACUGAGACACGGCCCAGACUCCUACGGGAGGCAGCAGUAGGGAAUUUUCGGCAAUGGGGGGAACCCUGACCGAGCAACGCCGCGUGAAGGAAGAAGGAAUUCGUUCUGUAAACUUCUGUUAUAAAGGAAGAAAGACGGAUGGAGGAAAUGACAUCCGAGUGACGGUACUUUAUGAGAAAGCCACGGCUAACUACGUGCCAGCAGCCGCGGUAAUACGUAGGUGGCAAGCGUUAUCCGGAAUUAUUGGGCGUAAAGAGGGAGCAGGCGGCAGCAAAGGUCUGUGGUGAAAGACUGAAGCUUAACUUCAGUAAGCCAUAGAAACCGGGCAGCUAGAGUGCAGGAGAGGAUCGUGGAAUUCCAUGUGUAGCGGUGAAAUGCGUAGAUAUAUGGAGGAACACCAGUGGCGAAGGCGACGAUCUGGCCUGCAACUGACGCUCAGUCCCGAAAGCGUGGGGAGCAAAUAGGAUUAGAUACCCUAGUAGUCCACGCCGUAAACGAUGAGUACUAAGUGUUGGAAGUCAAAUUUCAGUGCU
rnacentral:rRNA from 1 species